AUAAGGAACCAAGGGCUGACGGUGGAUACCUUGGCACUCAGAGGCGAUGAAGGACGUGGUUACCGACGAAACGCUCCGGGGAGCUGGAAACAAGCUGUGAUCCGGAGGUCUCCGAAUGGGGCAACCCCUUGGACGGUCGGCUGAAUCCAUAGGCCGACACGAGCGAACCCGGCGAACUGAAACAUCUUAGUAGCCGGAGGAAAAGAAAACAAACGUGAUUCCCCUAGUAGCGGCGAGCGAACGGGGAGGAGCCCAAACCAGGUGGCUUGCCAUCUGGGGUUGUGGGACGGCAUACGGGAGCGGACCUGCUAGACGAAGUGUUUGAAUGGCACACCAGAGAAGGUGAAAGUCCUGUAGUCGAAAGCGGGAAUGCCCUAGCCGGAUCCCGAGUAGCACGGGAGAUAACCCGUGUGAAUCUGCGAGGCCCACCUCGUAAGGCUAAAUACUCCUGAGUGACCGAUAGUGCAACAGUACCGCGAGGGAAAGGUGAAAAGAACCCCGGGCAGGGGAGUGAAAGAGAGCAUGAAACCGUCAGCCUACAAGCAGUGGGAGGCCGAUUAGAACGGCUAACCGCGUGCCUGUUGAAGAAUGAGCCGGCGACUUAUAAGUACCUGGCAGGUUAAGCCGCAAAUGGCGAAGCCGUAGGGAAACCGAGUCUGAACAGGGCGUUUGUCAGUGCUUAUAGACCCGAACCCGGGUGAUCUAACCAUGGCCAGGAUGAAGCUUGGGUAACACCAAGUGGAGGUCCGAACCGACCGAUGUUGAAAAAUCGGCGGAUGAGCUGUGGUUAGGGGUGAAAUGCCAAUCGAACCCGGAGCUAGCUGGUUCUCCCCGAAAUGCGUUGAGGCGCAGCGGUUGCCAUACCGGUUGGGGGUAGAGCACUGUUUCGGUGCGGGCGGCGAGAGCUGUACCAAAUCGAGGCAAACUCCGAAUACCAGCCGUUGAGGCAGCUAGUGAGACGGUGGGGGAUAAGCUUCAUCGUCGAGAGGGAAACAGCCCAGACCACCAGCUAAGGUCCCCAAAUUAUGGCUAAGUGGCAAAGGAGGUGGGAGUGCAGAGACAACCAGGAGGUUGGCCUAGAAGCAGCCAUCCUUAAAAGAGUGCGUAAUAGCUCACUGGUCAAGCGCUCCUGCGCCGAAAAUGAAUGGGACUAAGCCAUAUACCGAAGCUGUGGACAGGCGACUGUGGUAGGGAGCGUUCUGGGUGGGGUGAAGCAUCAGCGGAAGCAGGUGUGGACUGCCCAGAAGUGAGAAUGUCGGCUUGAGUAGCGAAAACAUUGGUGAGAAUCCAAUGCCCCGGAAACCCAAGGGUUCCGCCGCCAGGUUCGUCCGCGGCGGGUGAGUCAGGGCCUAAGGCGAGGCCGAAAGGCGUAGUCGAUGGACAACGGGUUAAUAUUCCCGUACCGUGUGUGGAUUGUGCUGGGGGACGGAGGAGGCUAGGCCAGCGAGGUGAUGGUUACUCGUGCAAGCGUUCGACGCGAGGAGGGGCGGCGAAAACGUCCUGAGCCGAGGCGCGAGUCCGAGGGACUACGGUCCCGAAGUGGCUGAUGUCAGACUCCCGAGAAAAGCCCAAACACGUUAAGCACACGCCUGUACCCGAAACCGACACAGGUGGGUUGGUAGAGGAUACCAAGGGGCGCGAGCUAACUCUCUCUAAGGAACUCGGCAAAAUGGCCCCGUAAGUUCGCAAGAAGGGGUGCCCCCGCAAGGGGGUCGCAGUGAAGAGGCUCUGGCAACUGUUUACCAAAAACACAGGUCUCCGCUAAGUCGUAAGACGACGUAUGGGGGCUGACGCCUGCCCAGUGCCGGAAGGUUAAGGAAGCUGGUUAGCGCAAGCGAAGCUGGCGACCGAAGCCCCGGUGAACGGCGGCCGUAACUAUAACGGUCCUAAGGUGAAUGAGUUGCCUUAGUAAAACUGAACCAUAUGCGGGAACAUCCUCAUACAGCUUGUCUCUACUCGUCUAGUUAGGCGCUUGAGCUGAGGGCUACUACCUUAGCGCUGUUGAGCUAGGCAGUCAAAAGGAGCAAGACAGGGGGACAAUCCGCAGGAAAGGCCUAGGAACGGUGGUUUCUAGGAAUCCUCAGAGACUUGAUGUUCAGGUACGGCUCAUGCAUUUGGAGACGCAGUGGAUUGUCGGUUUUGUAGAUGGUGAAGGCUGUUUUCACGUGAGUGUUCAUCCUCACGCAGAAAUGGCUACUGGUUACCAAGUGUUACCAGAGUUCACCGUGGUACAACACCGACGGGAUGUUCAGGUGCUCUAUGGCUUGAAAGCCUACUUUGGCUGUGGGGUCGUGCGGGUUAAUCAGGGUGACCGCAUGGCCUAUCGAGUCAGGGGCCUGGAACAUCUGGCGCAACGGAUCGUGCCUUUUUUCCUCAAGCAUCCCCUGAAGACGAGUAAGAACAUUGACUUCCUGAAGUUUCGGGAUGUGGUCUUACUGUGUCAGGCAGGGGAGCAUUUGACGGAGGCAGGCAUUAUUAAGAUCCAGCGGAUUGCUGCCCAGAUGAAUCGUAGCCGUACAAGGUAAAGUCCAGCUUUGCUGGAAACAGCAAAGGUUAACUGAGCGAAAUUCCUUGUCGGGUAAGUUCCGACCCGCACGAAAGGCGUAAUGAUCAGAGCGCUGUCUCGGAGAGAGGCUCGGCGAAAUAGACGUGUCCGUGAAGAUGCGGACUACCUGUACCUGGACAGAAAGACCCUAUGAAGCUUUACUGUAGCCUGGAAUUGGGUUUUGGCUUGCUUUGCGUAGGAUAGGUGGGAGGCUGUGAAGGUGCCCUUGCGGGGGUGCUGGAGCCGACGGUGAAAUACCACUCUGAGCAGGCUGAGAUUCUAACCCUGACCCGUGAGCCGGGCAGGGGACCGUUUCAGGUGGGCAGUUUGACUGG
rnacentral:rRNA from 1 species